GAUGAACGCUGGCGGCGUGCUUAACACAUGCAAGUCGAACGGUGAAGCAGGAGCUUGCUCCUGUGGAUCAGUGGCGAACGGGUGAGUAACACGUGAGCAAUUUGCCCUGGACUCUGGGAUAAGCGUUGGAAACGACGUCUAAUACCGGAUACGAGACGCGAAGGCAUCUUCAGCGUCUGGAAAGAACGUCGGGCCAGGAUGAGCUCGCGGCCUAUCAGCUAGUUGGUGGGGUAAUGGCUCACCAAGGCGACGACGGGUAGCCGGCCUGAGUGGGUGACCGGCCACACUGGGACUGAGACACGGCCCAGACUCCUACGGGAGGCAGCAGUGGGGAAUAUUGCACAAUGGGCGCAAGCCUGAUGCAGCAACGCCGCGUGAGGGACGACGGCCUUCGGGUUGUAAACCUCUUUUAGCAGGGAAGAAGCGAAAGUGACGGUACCUGCAGAAAAAGCACCGGCUAACUACGUGCCAGCCGCCGCGGUAAUAC
rnacentral:rRNA from 1 species